GCUUUCGUGGUGUAACGGUUAGCACACUCAGUACUUAUUUGAGAGGUCCGGGUUCGAUUCCUGGUGUGGGCA
rnacentral:tRNA from 1 species